GGCGCUACAAGCUCAUCGGGGGU
rnacentral:siRNA from 1 species